UACGUAGGUGGCAAGCGUUACUCGGAAUCACUUGGCGUAAAGCGCAGGUAGGCGGUUCGGUAAGUCUCUUGUGAAAGCUCCCGGCUCAACUGGGAGAGGUCAAGGGAAACUACCGGGCUAGAGUGUGGCAGAGGAAGCUGGAAUUCCCGGUGUAGCGGUGAAAUGCGCAGAUAUCAGGAGGAACACCGAUGGCGAAGGCAGGUCUCUGGGCCGAUACUGACGCUGAGGAGCGAAAGCGUGGGGAGCGAACAGG
rnacentral:rRNA from 1 species